CACUCCUGCGGGAGGCAGCAGUGGGGAAUUUUGGACAAUGGGCGAAAGCCUGAUCCAGCCAUGCCGCGUGCAGGAUGAAGGCCUUCGGGUUGUAAACUGCUUUUGUACGGAACGAAACGGCCUUUUCUAAUAAAGAGGGCUAAUGACGGUACCGUAAGAAUAAGCACCGGCUAACUACGUGCCAGCAGCCGCGGUAAUACGUAGGGUGCAAGCGUUAAUCGGAAUUACUGGGCGUAAAGCGUGCGCAGGCGGUUAUGUAAGACAGUUGUGAAAUCCCCGGGCUCAACCUGGGAACUGCAUCUGUGACUGCAUAGCUAGAGUACGGUAGAGGGGGAUGGAAUUCCGCGUGUAGCAGUGAAAUGCGUAGAUAUGCGGAGGAACACCGAUGGCGAAGGCAAUCCCCUGGACCUGUACUGACGCUCAUGCACGAAAGCGUGGGGAGCAAACAGGAUUAGAUACCCCGGCAGUCCC
rnacentral:rRNA from 1 species